AAAGCGGUGGAAAUUGCGGUGAAGAGAGCCGAAAUUGCGGUGAAGAGCGGUUGAAAUUUCUUAUUUUUUUUGCUUGUUUAAAGACACGGCUUCUGCGCGUGCGCCAGCCUGGGGACUCCACCCGAAGUUGAUAAUCCCCCGGAUUGUUCAGUCUAAAAACCAUGACCAGCCGACAAUUUAAGAAAGAAAUUCUCAAUCUUUCAAGAGCACUGAGUCAUGUCGUCGAGUAGAAAAGAAUAUUAUGCUAGUAAAGAUGCCUCUUAAGUGUAUUUGUUGGGUUCUUUCCCUCGAUGGAGAGCGUUUAAGGAGCAGCAUAAAUUGAGAACAGACAAGGAUGUGGCGGAUAUGCUUCUUGACAGCUAUCUUGCGAUGAAUCGUAAGUUUGCAAUGCAGAGACGCAAACCGAAACGGUCAUGGAAUCAACGGAUAUGCCGCCAGUUAAAACCUCAACGCCAAGCGCGCACUCAAUCCGCGUCCAUUGUCUGCUUUGUCG